ACGAACGCUGGCGGCGUGCCUAAUACAUGCAAGUCGAGCGGACUGAUUAAGAGCUUGCUCUUAUGACGUUAGCGGCGGACGGGUGAGUAACACGUGGGCAACCUGCCCUGUAGAUCGGGAUAACACCGAGAAAUCGGUGCUAAUACCGGGUAAUAUCUGAGAUCACAUGAUCUUAGGUUAAAAGAUGGCUCCGGCUAUCACUACAGGAUGGGCCCGCGGCGCAUUAGCUAGUUGGUAAGGUAAUGGCUUACCAAGGCGACGAUGCGUAGCCGACCUGAGAGGGUGAUCGGCCACACUGGGACUGAGACACGGCCCAGACUCCUACGGGAGGCAGCAGUAGGGAAUCUUCCGCAAUGGACGAAAGUCUGAUGGAGCAACGCCGCGUGAGUGAUGAAGGGUUUCGGCUCGUAAAGCUCUGUUGUUAGGGAAGAAACAGUACCGAACGAACUAGGUCGGUACCUUGACGGUACCUAACCAGAAAGCCACGGCUAACUACGUG
rnacentral:rRNA from 1 species